rnacentral:tRNA from 1 species
CAUUAGAUAACUGAAAGCCAGUAUUGGUCUCUUAAACCACACUAUAGUAAAUUAGCGAUUACUUCUGAUGA